rnacentral:lncRNA from 1 species
UCUUUCUUUUUUCCAACACUUUAUAGCAUGCAGAAAUGACCUUCGUGGGAUUAUUGGCUACCGGUUCCUAAUUCAAACAUUUCAAUCUAACGAUUCCUGCAAAUAAAAAAAAAACGAAUGCAUUUUCUAAGUCAAAAAUGGUGUUCCAAAUGUUUACACUAGUGUUCAUCAAUUGAAUGUGUGGUGUUCAGUUUUUAAUGCCUUUGUGUUUCACUUUUGAACACUUGAUGUUAGAGUUAUUUAACACUUAGUGUUCAUCAAUUGAAUAUGUGGUGUUCAGUUUUUAAUGCCUUUGUGUUUCAUUUUUGAACACUUGAUGUUAGAGUUCUUAACACUUAGUGUUCAUCAAUUGAAUGUGUGGUGUUCAGUUUUUAAUGCCUUUGUGUUUCAUUUUUGAACACUUGAUGUUAGAGUUCUUAACACUUAGUGUUCAGCUAAUAUACGUGGAUGUCAAAAAUCAUCAUUUAUUCUGUAUAACAGACAGACGAUCACAGACUGGUUAUUCAUCAGUUUAGGAAAUCAUCAGAACAAAGCUGACAGUUAUUUACGUUUAAAUCCUGUUCUUUAAUUCGUCUUUUAUGUUG